UGGGAAAGUCUGUGCUUAUCUUGGCUC
rnacentral:piRNA from 1 species